rfam:Bombyx mori DNA, contig: Bm_scaf39_contig22763, strain: p50T/Dazao, build 2, whole genome shotgun sequence.
UUAACUCAAAUUUGUAUGGAGUUGGAACGUUUGCCGCUAGGAGCGCUGUUCCCACUGCAUACAAAUUUGAGUUA